rnacentral:rRNA from 1 species
AUGAAUGAAAAGUUUGCAAUUAAAUCAAACUAUCAUAUGCUGCCCAGAAAACCUAGAGCAAUUUCUAUUGCUGGUGGAGGUACACUAAUAUCUGCAGCUGUAGUACCAAAUUGCCCUUUACAGAUUGCUAAACCAGGAAUGCAACACUCUUUCAGAGUUUUGGAUUUACCUAGCCAUGACAUUAUUUUGGGUUAUGACUGGUUCACCCUUGUCAGCCCAGUCACCUUUGAUGUUCCUAGGCAUCAGUUCAGUUUUACGGUGGAAGGACAGACUAAAGUCACAAUAGCUAUCUUCAAUACUAAUGAAGAAGUGAAAGAAAUGCGGGCUGAGAAACUCCCAAAGAUGUUGGACAAAGGAGUGCAAGGGUUUCUUAUACAAUUGAACAUCAUUAUAAUGGAAGCUCCUGCCAAUCACUACAUUCCAGCUGCAGUCCAACAAUUGUUGGAAGAAUACAAGGAUGUGUUCCAGGAGCGUACAAAGCUACCACCUAGUAUAGCUUUGGAUCACACAAUUCCUUUGAUGCCAGGAGUGGAUCCCCCUCACUCUAUACCUUAUAGAGUGCCCCAUCACCAGAAGGAAGAAAUGAAAAAACAGAUUCAGCAUUUGUUGGACAACAAAUUAAUCAGACCUAGCCAGAGCCCUUAUGCUACUCCUGUGCUUCUAGUGAAGAAAAAGGACAGCACUAUGAGACUGUGCACAGAUUUCAGAAAAUUGAAUUCAAUCACAAUCAAAAAUAAAUUCCCAAUUCCUGUGACUGAGGAUUUAUUGGAUGAACUGCAUGGAGCUAAAGUAUUCUCUAAAUUGGAUCUAAGGUCUGGUUACCACCAAAUCAGAAUGAAUCCUGAAGACAUACACAAAACUGCUUUUCGAACAUUCUUGGGUCACUAUGAAUAUUUGGUCAUGCCUUUUGGCUUAUCCAACGCACCUGGCACUUUUCAAGCUCUCAUGAAUUUUCUCUUUGCACACUACAAUAGAAAGUUUGCUAGUGUUCUUUGA